rnacentral:rRNA from 1 species
GAUGAACGCUGGCGGCGUGCCUAACACAUGCAAGUCGAGCGAACACACGAGGAGCUUGCUCCCCUGCCGUUAGCGGCUGGCGGGCGAGUAACGCAUGGAUCCCCUACCUCUUAUACUUGGAUAACUUCGUGAAACAGCUUCUACUACCACCUCAUAUCUUCAACCGCAUAGUUCAAUGUUGAUUCGCACUUUUCCCGUCUCUUUUAGCUGGAUUCGCGGCGCCUUAUCUAGUUGGUAAGGUAACGGCUUACCAAGGCAACGAAGCUUAGCCGACCGGAGAGGGUGAUCGGCCACACUGGAACUGAGACAAGGGCCAGACUCCUACGGGAGGCAGCAGUAGGGAAUCUUCCGCAAUGGGCGAAAGCCUGACGGAGCAACGCCGCGUGAGGGAUGAAGGUCUUCGGAUCGUAAAACUCUGUUAUUAGGGAAGAACAAAUGGGUAAGUAACUAUGCACGUCUUGACGGUACCUAAUCAGAAAGCCACGGCUAACUACGUG